rnacentral:rRNA from 1 species
CCGUACACAAAAGCGCAUGUGCUGUGAGCUCGAUGAGUAGGGCGGGACACGUGGUAUCCUGUCUGAAUAUGGGGGGACCAUCCUCCAAGGCUAAAUACUCCUGACUGACCGAUAGUGAACCAGUACCGUGAGGGAAAGGCGAAAAGAACCCCGGCGAGGGGAGUGAAAAAGAACCUGAAACCGUGUACGUACAAGCAGUGGGAGCACAGGUUUACCUGUGUGACUGCGUACCUUUUGUAUAAUGGGUCAGCGACUUAUAUUCUGUAGCAAGGUUAACCGUAUAGGGGAGCCGGAGGGAAACCGAGUCUUAAUUGGGCGUUAAGUUGCAGGGUAUAGACCCGAAACCCGGUGAUCUAGCCAUGGGCAGGUUGAAGGUUGGGUAACACUAACUGGAGGACCGAACCGACUAAUGUUGAAAAAUUAGCGGAUGACCUGUGGCUGGGGGUGAAAGGCCAAUCAAACCGGGAGAUAGCUGGUUCUCCCCGAAAGCUAUUUAGGUAGCGCCUCGUGAAUUCAUCUCCGGGGGUAGAGCACUGUUUCGGCUAGGGGGCCAUCCCGGCUUACCAACCCGAUGCAAACUGCGAAUACCGGAGAAUGUUAUCACGGGAGACACACGGCGGGUGCUAACGUCCGUCGUGAAGAGGGAAACAACCCAGACCGCCAGCUAAGGUCCCAAAGUCAUGGUUAAGUGGGAAACGAUGUGGGAAGGCCCAGACAGCCAGGAUGUUGGCUUAGAAGCAGCCAUCAUUUAAAGAAAGCGUAAUAGCUCACUGGUCGAGUCGGCCUGCGCGGAAGAUGUAACGGGGCUAAACCAUGCACCGAAGCUGCGGCAGCGAACGUAUCACCCAAGACAACUUUACGGAGUUGACGAUUGACGGAGCGAAGCGACGUCAAAGCGUUCAUUAAAGUCGAGUUGGCUUAGGGAUACGUUCGUUGGGUAGGGGAGCGUUCUGUAAGCCUGUGAAGGUGUGUCGUGAGGCAUGCUGGAGGUAUCAGAAGUGCGAAUGCUGACAUAAGUAACGAUAAAGCGGGUGAAAAGCCCGCUCGCCGGAAGACCAAGGGUUCCUGUCCAACGUUAAUCGGGGCAGGGUGAGUCGACCCCUAAGGCGAGGCCGAAAGGCGUAGUCGAUGGGAAACGGGUUAAUAUUCCCGUACUUGGUGUUACUGCGAAGGGGGGACGGAGAAGGCUAUGUUGGCCGGGCGACGGUUGUCCCGGUUUAAGCGUGUAGGUGUGUGUUCCAGGUAAAUCCGGUUCACUUUAACACUGAGGCGUGACGACGAGGCACUACGGUGCUGAAGCAACAAAUGCCCUGCUUCCAGGAAAAGCCUCUAAGCAUCAGGUAACAUCAAAUCGUACCCCAAACCGACACAGGUGGUCAGGUAGAGAAUACCAAGGCGCUUGAGAGAACUCGGGUGAAGGAACUAGGCAAAAUGGUGCCGUAACUUCGGGAGAAGGCACGCUGACACGUAGGUGAAGUGAUUUACUCAUGGAGCUGAAGUCAGUCGAAGAUACCAGCUGGCUGCAACUGUUUAUUAAAAACACAGCACUGUGCAAACACGAAAGUGGACGUAUACGGUGUGACGCCUGCCCGGUGCCGGAAGGUUAAUUGAUGGGGUCAGCGCAAGCGAAGCUCCUGAUCGAAGCCCCGGUAAACGGCGGCCGUAACUAUAACGGUCCUAAGGUAGCGAAAUUCCUUGUCGGGUAAGUUCCGACCUGCACGAAUGGCGUAAUGAUGGCCAGGCUGUCUCCACCCGAGACUCAGUGAAAUUGAACUCGCUGUGAAGAUGCAGUGUACCCGCGGCAAGACGGAAAGACCCCGUGAACCUUUACUAUAGCUUGACACUGAACAUUGAGCCUUGAUGUGUAGGAUAGGUGGGAGGCUUUGAAGUGUGGACGCCAGUCUGCAUGGAGCCGACCUUGAAAUACCACCCUUUAAUGUUUGAUGUUCUAACGUGGACCCGUAAUCCGGGUUGCGGACAGUGUCUGGUGGGUAGUUUGACUGGGGCGGUCUCCUCCUAAAGAGUAACGGAGGAGCACGAAGGUUGGCUAAUCCUGGUCGGACAUCAGGAGGUUAGUGCAAUGGCAUAAGCCAGCUUGACUGCGAGCGUGACGGCGCGAGCAGGUGCGAAAGCAGGUCAUAGUGAUCCGGUGGUUCUGAAUGGAAGGGCCAUCGCUCAACGGAUAAAAGGUACUCCGGGGAUAACAGGCUGAUACCGCCCAAGAGUUCAUAUCGACGGCGGUGUUUGGCACCUCGAUGUCGGCUCAUCACAUCCUGGGGCUGAAGUAGGUCCCAAGGGUAUGGCUGUUCGCCAUUUAAAGUGGUACGCGAGCUGGGUUUAGAACGUCGUGAGACAGUUCGGUCCCUAUCUGCCGUGGGCGCUGGAGAACUGAGGGGGGCUGCUCCUAGUACGAGAGGACCGGAGUGGACGCAUCACUGGUGUUCGGGUUGUCAUGCCAAUGGCACUGCCCGGUAGCUAAAUGCGGAAGAGAUAAGUGCUGAAAGCAUCUAAGCACGAAACUUGCCCCGAGAUGAGUUCUCCCUGAGACUUAGAGUCUCCUGAAGGAACGUUGAAGACGACGACGUUGAUAGG